rnacentral:rRNA from 1 species
CGCCCUUGCGGAUCCGGGGCCGCUGCAAGUUUGAUCCUGGCUCAGAGCGAACGCUGGCGGCAGGCCUAACACAUGCAAGUCGUGCGCCCCGUAAGGGGAGCGGCGGACGGGUGAGUAACGCGUGGGAAUCUAUCCUGAGGUGAGGGAUAACCCUGGGAAACUAGGGCUAAUACCGCAUGAUGUCUGCGGACCAAAGCCGCAAGCGCCGCAGGAGGAGCCCGCGUCCGAUUAGCUUGUUGGUGGGGUAACGGCCUACCAAGGCGACGAUCGGUAGCUGGUCUGAGAGGAUGAUCAGCCACACUGGGACUGAGACACGGCCCAGACUCCUACGGGAGGCAGCAGUGGGGAAUAUUGGACAAUGGGCGAAGCUGAAUCCAGCCAUGCCGCGUGGGUGAAGAAGGCCCUAGGGUUGUAAGGCCUUUCGGCGGGGACGAUGAUGACGGUACCGCAGAAGAUGCCGGGCUAACUUCGU